rnacentral:lncRNA from 1 species
GGUGAAUUCAGAAACUGAGGUAUUUUCCUAGUCCCUGUUAUGACCAGGUGCCACUGGGUGUGGCGGAGAAGGCGUUCUCAGGUUGAAAAGGAUGGAGGAGGGACGGAGGACCCCAUCAGUCAGGCGGGCAGUCGAUUGCAUUUGGCUUGGAAGUGAGUCCAAUAAUGCAAUGGCUGAAGAACAAGGGUGUUUCAGAGUAGCUGGAUGGAUGUCUUGGAUUUUAAUUGUAACUCUGACGAUUUGGAGUGAUCGUGGUAACGGACAAGGUCAAGAUGACAUUGCUGAGUGAAGGGCAAGCUGAAGAAAAUGCUUGUUUAAUUUGCAGUGAGGCAGCUUGCUGAUGGAAAGACUAGUAGAAGCAGUUCAGUGUCAUGUACUCAUAACUUGUUAAGUCUGAUAUCUUCAAUAGUUAUGUUCUGAACAAGCCAAGAAUUUAUGCUACAGUCUGUAAAUUGUUCACAGGCUAAUUACGAUUGGCAUGAAACUUUUAGGGUGAGAUUCAAAGUUCUACCCAGGCCAUUAACUGUAUGACACCAUUGUGAUGGAAACACA